GCCGCCUUAGCUCAGUUGGUAGAGCACUUGCCUUGUAAUCAUGAGGUCUCCGGUUCAAAUCCGGGAGGCGGCU
rnacentral:tRNA from 1 species